rnacentral:tRNA from 1 species
GGUGGUUUUAGUUUAACAGGUAAAAUGUCUCACUGUGAAUGAGAAGAAUAGGGUUCGAGUCCCGAAAUCACCC